AAAAUUAAAAACUCGACCUUGAAGAAAACAACAACUAGGGUUUCGAAAAUCACCUAAUUUUCAAUACAAUCAGCAUUGAAUCAUUCCCCCGGAACGAUGUCAAGUCAUGAAGUUGAUGGAAACUCCUAUUCUCCUUCUGCUUUGGACUCACCCAGAGAAUCAGACAUGCAACAACUAGCUCAAAAAGGGUCAUCCAAUUCAGGGUCCAAGCAUGGAUCUCGUGACCAUGAGAAAGACAGAGAGAGGGAGUCCUCCAGAAGUAGAGAUAAGGAAAGGGAAAGAGGUCGUGACAAAGAGCGGGACAGGGACAGAGAACGAGAUAGGGAGAGAGGUAGAGAUAGGGAAAAGGAUAGAGAUAAAAAUAGGGAGAGGGAUCCAGACAAGGAUCGAGAUCGUGAGCGUCACAGGUACCGUAGUGAGAGAAGAGAGAGAGAGAGGACUAGAGAUCCCGACGAUGGAGAUGACUAUUACAGAAGCCGAGACCAUGACAGGCGGAGAGAUCACGAUAAAGACCGAGAGGAUAGGCACAGGCAUAGGCCUAGAUCUCCGUCAAGGUCAAAGUCUGAGCACAGAUCAAGAUCACGUUCUCGUUCACGCUCCAAAAGCAAAAGGACGAGUGGUUUUGACAUGGCACCCCCUGCUGCAUCAUUGCUUCCCAAUGCCACCGCUAUUCCAGGUCAGAUGCCUGGGAUCCCUCCCACAAUGCCCGGAAUGUUUGCAAAUAUGUUACCUAUGGCAGCUGGACAGUUUGGAGCACUCUCAAUGAUGCCUGUUCAGGCAAUGACUCAGCAGGCUACAAGACAUGCUCGACGAGUCUAUGUUGGUGGACUUCCUCCCUCUGCUAAUGAACAGACUGUGGCGACCUUCUUUAGUCAUGUUAUGUCAGCAAUCGGAGGAAACACUGCCGGUCCAGGCGAUGCGGUUGUUAAUGUGUAUAUUAACCACGAGAAAAAGUUUGCUUUUGUGGAGAUGAGAUCUGUUGAAGAGGCUAGUAAUGCAAUGGCUUUAGAUGGAAUUAUUUUUGAGGGUGCACCAGUUAAAGUGAGAAGACCCAGCGAUUAUAACCCUUCACUGGCUGCGACUCUUGGCCCAAGUCAACCGAAUCCCGAUCUAAAUCUUGCUGCUGUGGGGUUGAGUCCAGGAUCUUCUGGUGGACUUGAGGGCCCUGACCGUAUAUUUGUUGGUGGUUUACCGUAUUAUUUCACAGAGGCACAGAUAAGGGAGCUGCUGGAGUCAUUUGGACCGCUUCGAGGCUUUGAUCUCGUUAAAGAUAGAGAAACAGGGAACUCCAAAGGCUACGCCUUUUGCGUUUACCAAGAUUUAUCGGUUACAGAUAUUGCUUGUGCAGCUCUAAAUGGGAUAAAAAUGGGCGAUAAAACACUUACUGUUAGGCGUGCUAACCAGGGCACUACACAGCCUAAACCUGAACAAGAGAGUGUGUUAAUGCAUGCACAGCAACAAAUAGCAUUGCAGAGAAUAAUGCUACAACCUCCUGUAAUAGCUACAAAGGUCGUUUGCCUAACGGAAGUGGUAAAUCCAGAAGAGCUCAAAGACGAUGACGACUAUGAGGAUAUAGUGGAGGACAUGAAAAUCGAAUGCGCGAAGUUUGCCUUCUCAAGUCCCUUAAUCUGCUAACCUGAAGCCACACAUAGAUACAGAAAACUCGGGAAUCUUAUUAAAUACCUAUUCCACCCUUAAUUAAAUCAUUCAUCUCAGCACUGACAUUAUUUUUUUCUAGGUACUUUGGUAAAUGUUGUCAUCCCUCGGCCACUUCCCAGUGGCGAAAUGGGUCCAGGUGUAGGAAAGGUCUUCUUGGAAUAUACAGACACUGAAGGUGCUACAAAAGCAAGGCAAGGACUGAAUGGUAGGAAAUUCGGUGGCAAUGAAGUGGUUGCAGUUUUCUAUCCAGAAAACAAGUUCGCUGAGGCGGAUUACGAGGGCUAGCUUAUUGCUAUUGGCUUUUGCCACAUCAUCAUCCUCAGUAUCUCCUAUGAAGAUAUCUGAAUUUUGAUGUUAGAUAUGAUAAUCUUUAAAUAGGUUUAUGCUUCUAUUCGUACAAUUUUGCAGGUUUCCUUUUUAAUGUGCGCUUGAAGACCAUGCUCAAGAUUUGAUUCUGGAUCAGGACAUUUGUGUUAUGGUGUUUUGGAUGAUUAAAUUAAAUAGAGAUAAUGAAUGAAUUUACGUAGUCGAUGAUUUGGUCUCCAUAGAGCUUUGUAAUCUGCCAAGUAGUCGUUGUUUGCUCUAAAUUUCUGAUUGAUUAGUUUCGAGUUGUGCAAGUUUUUUUUGGUUUGUGUUAAGAGUGGACUAUAUGUUGAUCUCUCCUCAAAUGUAACCAUGUUCUC